rnacentral:tRNA from 1 species
AGCAUAAUUAUUCACGGUUAGAACGCUGGCCUUGUAAUCCUGGGGUCUCGGGUUCGAUUCCCGGUGGUGCCC